rnacentral:rRNA from 1 species
GAUGAACGCUAGCGGGAGGCCCAACACGUGCAAGCCGAGCGGUAUUUGUCUUUCGGGACAGAGAGAGCGGCGUACGGGUGCGGAACACGUGUGCAACCUGCCUUUAUCAAGAGGAUAGCCUUUCGAAAGGAAGAUUAAUACUCUAUAAUAUAUUGAUUGGCAUCAGUUAAUAUUGAAAGUUACGGCGGAUAAAGAUGGGCACGCGCAAGAUUAGCUAGUUGGUGAGGUAACGGCUCACCAAGGCGAUGAUCUUUAGGGGGCCUGAGAGGGUGAUCCCCCACACUGGUACUGAGACACGGACCAGACUCCUACGGGAGGCAGCAGUGAGGAAUAUUGGUCAAUGGGUGCAAGCCUGAACCAGCCAUCCCGCGUGAAGGACGACUGCCCUAUGGGUUGUAAACUUCUUUUGUAUAGGGAUAAACCUCUCCUCGUGAGGAGAGCUGAAGGUACUAUACGAAUAAGCACCGGCUAACUCCGUGCCAGCAGCCGCGGUAA